rnacentral:rRNA from 1 species
UACGAAGGGGGGCUAGCGUUGCUCGGAAUUACUGGGGCGUAAAGCGCACGUAGGCGGCUUUCUAAGUCGGGGGUGAAAUCCUGGAGCUCAACUCCAGAACUGCCUUCGAUACUGGAGCUCGAGUCCGGGAGAGGUGAGUGGAACUGCGAGUGUAGAGGUGAAAUUCGUAGAUAUUCGUCAAGAACACCAGUGGCGAAGGCGGCUCACUGGCCCGGUACUGACGCUGAGGUGCGAAAGCGUGGGGAGCAAACAGG